UACGUAGGGUGCAAGCGUUGUCCGGAAUUAUUGGGCGUAAAGAGCUCGUAGGCGGUUUGUCGCGUCUGCUGUGAAAACUCGGGGCUUAACCCUGGGCCUGCAGUGGGUACGGGCAGACUAGAGUGCGGUAGGGGAGACUGGAAUUCCUGGUGUAGCGGUGAAAUGCGCAGAUAUCAGGAGGAACACCAGUGGCGCAGGCGGCUCUCUGGGUCGGCCCUGACGCUGAGGCGCGAAAGCGUGGGGAGCGAACGGG
rnacentral:rRNA from 1 species